GAUGAACGCUGGCGGCGUGCUUAACACAUGCAAGUCGAACGGAAAGGCCCAAGCUUGCUUGGGUACUCGAGUGGCGAACGGGUGAGUAACACGUGGGUGAUCUGCCCUGCACUUCGGGAUAAGCCUUGGAAACUGGGUCUAAUACCGGAUAGGACGAUGGUUUGGAUGCCAUUGUGGAAAGUUUUUUCGGUGUGGGAUGAGCUCGCGGCCUAUCAGCUUGUUGGUGUGGUAAUGGCCUACCAAGGCGUCGACGGGUAGCCGGCCUGAGAGGGUGUACGGCCACAUUGGGACGGAGAUACGGCCCAGACGCCUACGGGAGGCAGCAGUGGGGAAUAUUGCGCAAUGGGCGCAAGCCUGAUGCAGCGACGCCGCGUGGGGGAUGACGGCCUUCGGGUUGUAAACUCCUUUCGCUAGGGACGAAGCGUUUUUGUGACGGUACCCGGAGAAGAAGCACCGGCUAACUACGUG
rnacentral:rRNA from 1 species